rnacentral:lncRNA from 1 species
AGAACCGUUAGUUGGGGGCGAGCGCGGCCUCUGCAUUUUCCGCCGAGCUCGGGUACCCUGAGCCGGCCGUGCCUGCAGUCCUCCCGCCGCUCUGUGGGAUGGGGUCGGUGACCCGGAACCCCGAGGGGAGACAGUGCUUUCGGGGCGCCGCGGUGGAGAGAACAGAUCGCCUCCGGAAGCGUGGGGUCUGGGCCAGGGAGGCGAUCCCCUCCGAUGCGCGGGACAGAGGAGGCUCGGUGUCCUCUCGGGGAGGGGAAAACUGGUCCUAUCCAGUCCUGUGGGAGUCCUAUGACUCACUCUGGGCGUUUUCCAGUUUGGGUGGACUUGUCAUUUCCCGCUGAGGGAGCCGUUCCUGGGCGGAGGCUGCGGUAGCUCCCCAGCGGACACCUUAAGCCUCUCCCUCCCCUCCCAACUUCGGUUUCCUCAGGACUCUGCCCACUUCCACCAGAGACACAUUGAGAAGGAGGAAACUAUGGCCUCCAGGCUUCCGACGGCCUGGUCCUGUGAACCAGUGACCUUUGAAGAUGUAACACUGGGUUUUACCCCGGAAGAGUGGGGACUGCUGGACCUCAAACAGAAGUCCCUGUACAGGGAAGUGAUGCUGGAGAACUACAGGAACCUGGUCUCAGUGGAACAUCAGCUUUCCAAACCAGAUGUGGUAUCUCAGUUAGAGGAGGCAGAAGAUUUCUGGCCAGUGGAGAGAGGAAUU